rnacentral:tRNA from 1 species
GGGGACAUAGCUCAGCUGGUAGAGCACCACGCUGGCAGCGUGGUGGUCAGGGGUUCGAGUCCCCUUGUCUCCACCA